rnacentral:piRNA from 1 species
UCAGAGGGAAAAGAAGCCCAAACACCACUGU